UGCUGAGGCACUGUGUCUGUAUUGUUCCAUGGAGAGCGCUGCCAGUCCCACUGGAUUUAUCUCCCUGAUUUCCUGGAUGCUGAGCUUGUUGCCAUUAUAAUUCAAUGUCCUGCCUCCAUCCCUCUGGUCGGGGUGCAUGCCACGGAAAUUGUUUAUGUUGUGGAAUUACCUCCUGACAUUGAUGCAUGGGGGAAUUAUUCCAAAAAAACCCUGAAAAAUACAGUGCGUGCUGAAAGAAAUUCAGGGAACUAACCAGGAUAAGGGAAACCUUCCAGCCUGGCCAGAAGUAGCUCCAAGGAUUUGUGUCAUCCAGGAAGUCUCUCCAAGGAUUUGUGUCAUCCAGGGGCAAUUGUGUGGUGCUGGGCAAAGAUUCCUGCAGGACAGUCACACUUGGAAUUCCAGUAGAUUAGCCUAUCAUCAAGUCAUCAGGAUCCUGCUAUUGGAAUAAACACAGCUGUUGUUUUCCAAGAAAUGUGGCAAAGAGCACUCGGGCUUUCUGGAAAGGCCUUUUUGCAACAGAGGGAAACCCAAACCCAUCCCAUAUCCGAGUGUCACUCACGACUUUCUAAAUUGAUGGUGCUAUGCCCUAUCCUGCAUGGAUUGAGAAGAAGAGGAAUCAAAUUAUUUUCCUUGGACAUUACUCAAUGGAUCUUGCACUGAACAGUCUCUCUUUUGCUUUCAAGCUCAUUAAUAAAAACUUCCAACUUCUUCA
rnacentral:lncRNA from 1 species